CCCUUCACUCUCGCCCUGCCAUACCCUUUAUCUCUUUGCUCUCGCCCUGCCGCUUUCUCCUCCCAUCCUCCUCAGCAUGUGGCAGCAUCCCCCUUCCCCUUCCCCAGGUUGUUGUUUUCUCCUCAAUCCAAGGCAAUGAUGGGGGCUCGAGCAAAGAUGACGGCGGCAAUGGUUUGGUUGGUGUGAUAACGACUCCCACUCCCCCUCGCCCUCUUUGUUUCUCGGGCGUCGAUGCAUCGAUGGCGUCACCUCCAACUCAGGGGUCGUUGGAUGUGCCCCCCCCCUCCAACAGCGAUGGUGAUGGCGGUCCGACUACGGCGAGCAGUGGCCCUCCCUUUGACCCUGCCUCCCUGUGAGCAAUGACUAGCAGUGGUGGUGAGCGGUAAUGCCUUGGCCUCCAAUAAACAGCGGCGGUGGCGGCAGUGGUUUUUGUGAGAAUUUGUUAUUUGGUUUCUUCUUAUUGGAUCUGUGAGAAUUUUUAUUCAGCUUUUGUCCCUGUUGUUCUUGGCCUGAAGCAUUGAGUACCCGAAGCAUCAACUCGAUUUGAGCCGAUGCGAGCCUCUUUUUUUUUUAUUCCUAUAACCAUCAAAGGUACUGAUUCUUAAACCCGUA